ACACCCUAGCUUGCUAGGGUAAGUAAAGUGGCGCACGGGUGAGUAACGCGUGGGUAAUCUACCUUCGAAUUGGGGAUAACGUUGCGAAAGCGACGCUAAUACCGAAUAACAUCCUUUAGUCUUCGGAUUUUUGGAUCAAGGGUGGCCUCUACAUGUAAGCUACUGUUUGAAGAUGAGCCCGCGUACCAUUAGCUUGUUGGUGGGGUAAUGGCCUACCAAGGCAGCGAUGGUUAGCUGGUCUGAGAGGAUGAUCAGCCACACUGGAACUGACACACGGUCCAGACUCCUACGGGAGGCAGCAGUGAGGAAUUUUGCGCAAUGGGGGAAACCCUGACGCAGCAACGCCGCGUGAGUGAUGAAGGCUUUCGGGUCGUAAAGCUCUGUCAAGUGGGAAGAACCUGCAGUAUGCCAAUAUCAUAUUGCACUGACGGUACCACUGAAGGAAGCACCGGCUAACUCCGCGCCAGCAGCCGCGGUAAUACGGGGGGUGCAAGCGUUAUUCGGAAUCAUUGGGCGUAAAGGGCACGUAGGCGGCCUGGUAAGUCAGAUGUGAAAGCCCGGGGCUUAACCCCGGAAGUGCAUUUGAUACUGUCAGCUUUGAGUAUGGGAGAGGGAAAGUGGAAUUCCUGGUGUAGAGGUGAAAUUCGUAGAUAUCAGGAGGAACACCGGUGGCGAAGGCGACUUCCUGGACCAAUACUGACGCUGAGGUGCGAAGGCGUGGGUAGCAAACAGGAUUAGAUACCCUGGUAGUCCACGCAGUAAACGUUGUUCACUAGUGUAGCGGGUAUUGACCCCUGCUGUGCCGCAGUUAACGCAUUAAGUGAACCGCCUG
rnacentral:rRNA from 1 species